rnacentral:rRNA from 1 species
UGGGGAAUUUUGGACAAUGGGCGCAAGCCUGAUCCAGCAAUGCCGCGUGCAGGAUGAAGGCCUUCGGGUUGUAAACUGCUUUUGUACGGAACGAAAAAGCUCUCUCUAAUACAGGGGGUGAAUGACGGUACCGUAAGAAUAAGCACCGGCUAACUACGUGCCAGCAGCCGCGGUAAUACGUAGGGUGCAAGCGUUAAUCGGAAUUACUGGGCGUAAAGCGUGCGCAGGCGGUUUUGUAAGACAGAGGUGAAAUCCCCGGGCUCAACCUGGGAACUGCCUUUGUGACUGCAAGGCUAGAGUGCGUCAGAGGGAGGUGGAAUUCCGCGUGUAGCAGUGAAAUGCGUAGAGAUGCGGAGGAACACCGAUGGCGAAGGCAGCCUCCUGGGAUGACACUGACGCUCAUGCACGAAAGCGUGGGGAGCAAACA